rnacentral:lncRNA from 1 species
ACUCCCAGGUAAUCACUAUCCUACUAUGUGUCUCUAUGAAUUUGCCUAUUCUAGAUACUUCUUGUGCCUUUUUCCAUAAUUUUUUCUUAUAACCAGCCCUUCUCAUCCAAAGGCCACAAUGAAGUCGAAGAAACCUAUAGAUGACAGCUUUCACAAUCCUUCUCUUGCCUUUUCCUGUACUGACGUAUGUUAGAGAUCUGGCUGGCAGCUUCAAGACACUUGGAAGCAAGAGGGCCACUCUAUUAAGGAUCGCUGAAGUAUGCCCACAUGUCAGGUUUCUCUCAGAUGUGUCUCAGGUAUGCCUUUAUCAGCAGCAUGAAAACAGACUAAUACACACACUACUAUGCAGAGAUUAAAAGCAAUAAAGGAGUUGGGCACAGUGGCUCCAGCCUAUAAUCCCAGCACUUUGGGAGGCUGAGGCAGGCGGAUCACUUGAGGUCAGGAGUUCAAAACCAGCCUGGCCAACAUGGUAUCAAAACAUCAUUAUGGGCCGGGCACGGUGGCUUACGCCUGUAAUCCCAGCACUUUGGGAGGCUGAGGCAGGCAUAUGAAGAGGUCAAGAGAUCGAGAUCAUCCCGGCCAACAUGAAAUAACAAGAAAGUUAGAAAGUCUUCUGCCUCCCAUCAGAAAAUGAGCUCAAGUGUUGUAUCCAUUGAAAAUGACAUCUGAUGCUAAUCAUCUCUGAGUGAACCCUACAUCUUACAGUAAAUUGCAUAUUGCAAUAAAAAGUGAUCUCUCAUGGUUCUUGAAUUAUUUUUCAUCAUGUUUAGUGCAAUACUGUAAAUCUUGAACAUCACCAUGGGACCCAUAUGAAAUGUCACUAGUGAUGCUGGAAGUGCUCCCAAGAAGCAGAGAAAAAUCAUUACAAAAAAAAGCUGACUUGCUUGAUAUGUACCGUAGAUUGAGGUCUGCAGCUGUGGUUGCCCACCAUUUCAAGAUAGAUGAAUCCAGUGUAAGGACCAUUGUGGUUGGGGGAGGACUUUGUGGAGCCAUCACUGCAGCUACGACAGCAGGCAUGAAAACCUUGAAGUUUCUGUAAAAUAUCUUUUUAUCUUAUAUUUAAAAUACAAUGUGAGUACAGAAUUGCUAUAAGAAAGGCAUACUCUAGUAAGACUUGAAGUCAUUAUAUGACAACUUAAAGCAA